rnacentral:tRNA from 1 species
GCCUGGGUGGCUCAGUCAGUUAAGUGUCUGACUUCAGCUCAGGUCAUGAUCUCAUGGUUCAUGGGUUCAAGCCCCGUGUCAGGCU